rnacentral:rRNA from 1 species
UAAGCCGUUGAAGGUGAAUCGUAAGGUUUGCUGGAGGUAUCAGAAGUGCGAAUGCUGACAUGAGUAACGACAAAGGGGGUGAAAAACCUCCUCGCCGGAAGACCAAGGGUUCCUGUCCAACGUUAAUCGGGGCAGGGUGAGUCGACCCCUAAGGUGAGGCCGAAAGGCGUAAUCGAUGGGAAACGGGUUAAUAUUCCCGUACUUCUGACUAUUGCGAUGGGGGGACGGAGAAGGCUAGGUGGGCCAGGCGACGGUUGUCCUGGUUCAAGUGCGUAGGCUUGAGAGUUAGGUAAAUCCGGCUCUCUCUAAGGCUGAGACACGACGUCGAGCUACUACGGUAGUGAAGUCAUUGAUGCCAUGCUUCCAGGAAAAGCCUCUAAGCUUCAGAUAGUCAGGAAUCGUACCCCAAACCGACACAGGUGGUCGGGUAGAGAAUACCAAGGCGCUUGAGAGAACUCGGGUGAAGGAACUAGGCAAAAUGGUACCGUAACUUCGGGAGAAGGUACGCUCUUGAUGGUGAAGUCCCUCGCGGAUGGAGCUGACGAGAGUCGCAGAUACCAGGUGGCUGCAACUGUUUAUUAAAAACACAGCACUGUGCAAAAUCGCAAGAUGACGUAUACGGUGUGACGCCUGCCCGGUGCCGGAAGGUUAAUUGAUGGGGUUAGCGCAAGCGAAGCUCUUGAUCGAAGCCCCGGUAAACGGCGGCCGUAACUAUAACGGUCCUAAGGUAGCGAAAUUCCUUGUCGGGUAAGUUCCGACCUGCACGAAUGGCGUAAUGAUGGCCACGCUGUCUCCACCCGAGACUCAGUGAAAUUGAAAUCGCUGUGAAGAUGCAGUGUACCCGCGGCUAGACGGAAAGACCCCGUGAACCUUUACUACAGCUUGGCACUGAACAUUGAACCUACAUGUGUAGGAUAGGUGGGAGGCUAUGAAGACGUGACGCCAGUUGCGUUGGAGCCGUCCUUGAAAUACCACCCUUGUAUGUUUGAUGUUCUAACUUAGACCCAUUAUC